CACGCUGUAGACCAGACUGGCCUCGAACUCACAGAGCUCUGCCUGCCUCUGCCGCCCAAGUGCUGGGAUUAAAGGCGUGCGCCACCACCACCCGGCGGGCUCUGAGAAUUUUGAGUUGCACAACAGGAAGUGUCUGCCGUUCAGAGGAAGGACAAGGAGGAAGACUGAAGGAAAAGGUUCCUGUUCCUGGGGAUUCUUUGUGCUGCCUCCCCGCCCCCAUCGCCGCUGUCACCGGCGCCAGGAGGGAGUGGCAUUUCUGGAAUUUUGCCGUAUUUUGAAGACUGGGUCUUAUGAAGACCUCAAAGUUGCUUUGUGGCUGAGGAUGACCUUCACUCAUCUGCCUGCCUCCCCCUCCCAAGCAGGGCUAAUACAGCAGUGCACCACCAGGUCCAGCCAGAAGGCUUAGGAAACAGGACUGCGAAGGAUGGUUUUGCUGUAUCUUUCUGCAUCAAGACACCUUUAAAAGCACAUCAAUUGCCACCCGCAAAGGCUAAUUCCUUCUAUGCUGAAAAGUAUGUGAUGUCUCUCCAGCAUCUCCAGAGGCAGAUUCCCAGUGCUGCUUCUCUCCCCCCACCCCCCACCCCUGGCUUUGAUGCCCAGAGAAAGCAGAUGAUUCUGGUGAGAGAGCCCUGAAUGGGAGGCCAGUGGCUGAACUGAAUUUCCAACUGGGCCUCCAUUUCAAACUCAGUCACAAAGAGCAGCGACAUUCCCAGGACACGGCAGCUUACAGCCCGGGCUUCUUUUUUUCUCAGGUAUCUGAAAGCACAGCUUGUCCAACUGGUAGAUUAGAAAAGGAUAUGGGAACGUGUCCCCAUACUUUAAAGCCAGGGGGAGAAAGCCUUGUGAAGAGAAGACACAAAACCUGUUUGGUGACUUGUCACUUUAGAGAGAACAGAAACCUCUCCAGGUGAACAUUCAUGACCCUCCCCUUCCUCCUUCCAUCCAGCAGUCUUGGCUGGGGACCAGGACGAGGCCAAGGGACCCAGGGAAGCAAGGCUACUGCUCAUCCAGACUACACCGCUAUUGGAUGACAGAAGUUUGAGAACACAGUUUAGGGCAAAACUAAGUUUAUUAACCUUGCCAGGUCAAUAAAGCAGCCAGAGAGAAACAAUGCCUUCAUUGUACUUGUACCAGCUAGGAAAACAGCUGUGUAGCAGACACACAUUUCUUUGAUAAGAGUAAAUUGCUGUCAUAUUUAUCAUCUUUCUUCCUCUUUAAUACACGCUAAAGAACUGAUUAUCACCUGCACAGAAGUCGCCACUAAAUCCUGGGAAAGGUCUGGUCCUCCCAGCCAAAGCCCUGGGGGUUUGGGAAGAAUGCACUUCCCUUUGUUUUGUUCUGAUACUAGGGCUCCAUUGCCCCCUGGUCAGCUCCACCAAACUCCUCGUGAGAGCUAGUUCUCAGUGGGGUCCUACCCUGCCCCCCACUAGCGCUGCGUGCAAAGGACUUCUACAGUCAAAAGUCUAUUUCUGUAGCCCCGUCUGUCUGUACACUUCGUGAUUGCUGAGGGCUCCGUGGUCAGUCACUGUGUGUGUCAGGGGCCUCAGCACGUCUGGUGGGUAACAUCCUACAGUCCGACUCCCCCCUUUCUCCUCAAGCAGGCAUUACAAGAGGGUGUAACCUCAGUGAGGAAGAGAGCAAAGAGCAAAGGUGCUGCCUUUUUUUGUGCAGAUGAGCAGGCACACUAAGGUAGGGUGCAGAUUAGCAGCAAGGAGGCAAGAGCUGGAGCAGACGCUGCUCCCAGGGACAGCUAGGUAGGGCUGUGGCUGUGGGACUCUAGUUUGGACAUCUGUGUAAAGAUAGUAAAGGAAAGGAGAAAUUGUUUUGUUCGUUUUCUGGCUUUUACAUAGCACAACAGAGUUUCCUAGAAAUGAAGGGGUGUUUAUAAUGUCAGCUGAGGAGAAACUGGGACUUUGGAUCUACCUUUACUUUUCGUUACAAUCUUGCUUUGAAAUAUGGUCCUUCAACACCGGGAACUGGAUGUCAUCUAAGAAUGUCAUAUCAUAUCACAGCUGGGUGAUGGCAGCGCACGUCUUUAAUCCCAGUACUCAGGAGGCAGAGACAGACAGAUCUCUGUGAAUUCGAGGCCAGCCUGGUCUACAGAGCGAGUUUCAGGACAGGCUCCAAAGCUACAGAGAAACCCUGUCUUAAAAACAAAGGAACAAAACAAAGCAUCACACCCCCAUAACUACUGCAAGGAAACUAAUGCUUUUCAGCAGAGGAUACACACAGCAGGGCCC